GAUGAACGCUGGCGGCGUGCCUAAUACAUGCAAGUCGAGCGAACGGACGAGAAGCUUGCUUCUCUGAUGUUAGCGGCGGACGGGUGAGUAACACGUGGAUAACCUACCUAUAAGACUGGGAUAACUUCGGGAAACCGGAGCUAAUACCGGAUAAUAUUUUGAACCGCAUGGUUCAAAAGUAAAAGACGGUCUUGCUGUCACUUAUAGAUGGAUCCGCGCUGCAUUAGCUAGUUGGUAAGGUAACGGCUUACCAAGGCAACGAUGCAUAGCCGACCUGAGAGGGUGAUCGGCCACACUGGAACUGAGACACGGUCCAGACUCCUACGGGAGGCAGCAGUAGGGAAUCUUCCGCAAUGGGCGAAAGCCUGACGGAGCAACGCCGCGUGAGUGAUGAAGGUCUUCGGAUCGUAAAACUCUGUUAUUAGGGAAGAACAUAUGUGUAAGUAACUGUGCGCAUCUUGACGGUACCUAAUCAGAAAGCCACGGCUAACUACGUG
rnacentral:rRNA from 1 species